ACAGCUGUGUGUGUGUUGGGGGAGGGAGCAUCACUGCAGGCCCAAAAGAGAGCCGCACAUGUGCCACUCAGGGUUAUUAUAGCUUUGGAUUUUUCUCAUAUUAGCAUUUAUUUCCUUUCCACUUUUCUUUUGAAAUUUCACUGAAGUAUAAAUUACGCAAUCUUUCUUGCUGGAAAAGAACCAAAAAACGCAGGAUCAGAGCGCCACUCGCGGCUCAGCUAAGAACAACGACCGCGCCAUCCAGCGGGAACGAUGCCAGCAUUCACGCCUCGUGGAAUGCUUUUGGAGCGGGCCGUGUCACAUGGCGCACUUGAGUGACAAUCUUCCGGAGUUCCUGCUGGACCAGACAAUCUGAAAUUGCAACCAUCGAGAAUGUCCUCCGUCUUCUCCUCCUCCAGGAUGUCCGGCGAGCCGAUGCCUUCGUCCUUCUCCUCCACGCGCCUCCUCUUCGGGGAAGAGCCGCUCAACUCCUGCCGAGGCUUCAAGUCAUUCGUUUGGAAGCACUUUGGAUUCCAAAGAAAAGAUGGCUCAACGGACAAGACACGUGCAGUUUGUAAAUCCUGCCAUGCGGUGAUCAAAUAUUCAGGGAGCACAAAUCUCGCCGCACAUUUAAAGAAAAACCACGACAUCAAAGUUCAGUGUUAAAGUAAGCAAUUUGUAUACUACAAUACUCUUGUAAUUUCCUAAAUAAAGAGUUUGCAGUACCUUGUUGAUUUUGCGUAUGAAUUGUUAUAAAUCAGGAUAUUGUUCUAUAUUUCGUAUUAAAAAAAAUCGAUCGUAGAGCACUAUAUCGCGAUAUAUCGUGAAUGAAUCGCAGCAGGCUUUAAGAUAUCGGCAAAUAUCGUAUCGUAGUUCUUUAUAUCGUUAUUAUAUCGUAUCGUGACAAAACCCGCGAUUUACACCCCUACUAUUUUUACUUCUUACUGAAAUGGAAUUGCAAGAAUCAAAAUCUAAUGGAGCCUAAAUGUUUGAGAUUUCUCCAAGGCUUGACCUGUAUGAUUCGCUUGAGUUGGCUGUUCUGCUGCAGUAGUCGCGUCUUCUCCUGCUCCAGCGUGAAAAUGUACUCCGCCGUCUGCUGCAAGAUGGCAGCCUGAGAAGAGAAACCUGGAAAUGAAGCUCCGCAAACAGAAGAUUCCCGUCUUCCUUUGAACCCCACCGACACCUUGCUGAGC